UCAAGAAAUGAUUUUAGAUACAGCUUGGCAACAGAAGUGACCCUCAGCAACAUUUUCCAUUGUACAGUCACUUUUUCUUUUUUUUCUCUUAACUGGGCAGUAUGAUAAAUUGCUAAUUUCAGGUCAGACAGCUUAAAGUGCAGAACAAAAACAAUGACACCAUGGAAAAUAAAAAGGUUGUCCAGCAUAUUGAGUUUAAAUUUAAAUCUGUCUCUCUCAGGAAGCAGACUUGAGCAACAAAGAUGGAAACACCUCAGAGGAAUAUAUGUCUGAAGCCUAAUGAGCAGGAAUACAGGAAUAUCUUUCAAAUUCACCAAGAAAAGCAGGAUUCUUUCUUCUGAAAAAUGGAUGAACAAAAAAUUUUUUUUCUUCAUCUCUCCUCUUUUAUAUAGCAAUAAUUCUACUGUGUCUGAUUAAGAAGUUUUUUUGUUUCUUUCUAGUUCACCAAGUGUCUACUUUCUGUUUUUAAGAGGUUAACAGGACAGCAGUAAAAUCAGUCGCCUCUUUGGUCGUAUCUUGGUCUGACAAAAUAAAAGAUGUUAGAAAUGAUCUCAGAAUGGUAGGUCUAUUCCUUGUCAAUACAAGUCUGUAACAAUAUUAUGAAAUAUUUCAGAAAUGCUUAUUGGGCAUUUACCAGCAGAAGUUAGGUGCUUAGAUCCUAUUGAAUAUAAUGGGAGUCAGGAAUUUCUUGAUAACGUCAGAAGUCCAAAUACCCAAAUAAUUGCUAGUUUUUAUCCCACUAAAACUGAUGACAGCUAAGUACCCAGUGCUGCAAAAUCUUUGUAAAGGUGAUUCUGGGCUCUUCAGUCUUUCCUGAAACUGCGAUUGGACUGUUUAAUCACGAACGUGUGUUAGGAAAGUUUGUCUUGAUUGUUGAUAUACUUUGUUCCCGAGGAAGAUACCACUACUAUUUCAAAUAUCUCAUUGUCAUGUCAGUAUUUGACACGUGAAUGCUAUUUAUCUGUGUUCAGUAUAUUUAUCCUUGGUGAUUUUACUCUGAAUCUGAGAAGAUGCAGUCACAACUGUGGAUGUUUCCAAAGCAUGCCAAGAUUUUUUUGGUGAUGAAAUAUAUGAAAAGUGAAUACAGAAUUCCAAAUGUUACUGCAUUACAGCCCUGUGGUGGGAGACUGUUAAAUCCCUGCACUGUGAUAAAAUGCCUGCUUCCUGCUUUUUCCUGCGUGGAAUUUGUGGCCACAUAAGUUAUCAGCUAUAAAAAGGCAAGAGCAGGAAAUCUUGUCCUUGACAUACCCGGUGGAAUAAAUAAU